CAGUAGCCGCGGUAAAACGUAGGGGGCAAGCGUUAUCCGGAAUAACUGGGCGUAAAGGGUGCGCAGGUGGUUUAACAAGUUAGUGGUGAAAGGCAUAGGCUCAACCAAUGUAAGCCAUUAAAACUGUUUAACUUGAGUGCAGGAGAGGAAAGUGGAAUUCCUAGUGUAGCGGUGAAAUGCGUAGAUAUUAGGAAGAACACCAGUGGCGAAGGCGACUUUCUGGACGAAAACUGACGCUGAGGCGCGAAAGCCAGGGGAGCGAACGGGAUUAGAUACCCCCGUAGUCCCUGUCUCUUAUACA
rnacentral:rRNA from 1 species